rnacentral:rRNA from 1 species
UGGGGAAUAUUAGACAAUGGGCGAAAGCCUGAUCCAGCCAUGCCGCGUGUGUGAAGAAGGCCUUUUGGUUGUAAAGCACUUUAAGCGAGGAGGAGGCUACUUGGAUUAAUACUGUAGGAUAGUGGACGUUACUCGCAGAAUAAGCACCGGCUAACUCUGUGCCAGCAGCCGCGGUAAUACAGAGGGUGCGAGCGUUAAUCGGAUUUACUGGGCGUAAAGCGUGCGUAGGCGGCUUUUUAAGUCGGAUGUGAAAUCCCUGAGCUUAACUUAGGAAUUGCAUUCGAUACUGGGAAGCUAGAGUAUGGAAGAGGAUGGUAGAAUUCCAGGUGUAGCGGUGAAAUGCGUAGAGAUCUGGAGGAAUACCGAUGGCGAAGGCAGCCAUCUGGCCUAAUACUGACGCUGAGGUACGAAAGCAUGGGGAGCAAACAGG